rnacentral:rRNA from 1 species
AGCGAACGUUAGCGGCGGGCUUAACACAUGCAAGUCGAACGAGAAAGCCACUUCGGUGGUGAUUAGAGUGGCGCACGGGUGAGUAACACGUAGGCAAUCUACCUUCGGGCGGGGGAUAACUUCUCGAAAGAGAAGCUAAUACCGCAUAAGACCACAGUUACUUCGGUAACAAGGGGAAAAGCUGGCCUCUUCUUGAAAGCUAGCACCUGAAGAUGAGCCUGCGUCCCAUCAGCUUGUUGGUAAGGUAAUGGCUUACCAAGGCGAAGACGGGUAGCUGGUCUGAGAGGAUGGUCAGCCACACUGGCACUGGAACACGGGCCAG